rnacentral:rRNA from 1 species
GAUGGACGCUGGCGGCGUGCCUAAUACAUGCAAGUCGAGCGAACAGAUAAGGAGCUUGCUCCUUUUACGUUAGCGGCGGACGGGUGAUUAACACGUGGCUAACCUACCUAUAAGACUGGAAUAACUCCGGGAAACCGGGGCUAAUGCCGGAUAACAUUUAGAACCGCAUGGUUCUAAAGUGAAAGAUUGUUUUGCUAUCACUUAUAGAUGGACCCGCGCCGUAUUAGCUAGUUGGUAAGGUAACGGCUUACCAAGGCAACGAUACGUAGCCGACCGGAGAGGGUGAUAGGCCACACGGGAACUGAGCCACGGACAAGAGGCCUAAGGGAGGCAGCAGUAGGCAACGUGAGGCAACGGGCGAAAGUCUGACGGAGUAAGGGCGAGUGAGAGAUGAAGGUCUCCGGAUCGUAAAACCCGGCUACGAGGGAAGAACAAAUGUGUACGGAAAUGUGCACGUAUUGACGGUACCUAAUCAGAAAGCCCCGGCUAACUACGUG